UUGACAUCCAGAGAAUUUAGCAGAGAUGCUUUAGUGCCUUCGGGAACGUCUGAGACAGGUGCUGCAUGGCUGUCGUCAGCUCGUGUUGUGAAAUGUUGGGUUAAGUCCGCAACGAGCGCAACCCUUAUCCUUUGUUGCCAGCACGUAAUGGUGGGAACUCAAAGGAGACUGCCGGUGAUAAACCGGAGGAAGGUGGGGAUGACGUCAAGUCAUCAUGGCCCUUACGAGUAGGGCUACACACGUGCUACAAUGGCGUAUACAAAGAGAAGCGACCUCGCGAGAGCAAGCGGACCUCAUAAAGUGCGUCGUAGUCCGGAUUGGAGUCUGCAACUCGACUCCAUGAAGUCGGAAUCGCUAGUAAUCGUAAAUCAGAAUGUUACGGUGAAUACGUUCCCGGGCCUUGUACACACCGCCCGUCACACCAUGGGAGUGGGUUGCAAAAGAAGUAGAUAGCUUAACCUUCGGGAGGGCGUUUACCACUUUGUGAUUCAUGACUGGGGUGAAGUCGUAACAAGGUAAGCGUAGUGCU
rnacentral:rRNA from 1 species